rnacentral:lncRNA from 1 species
CUUUGCCACAUUUCUCUUUUCUGUUUGGAUAAUUGCAUUGUCAAGAAUUACUUAUCAUACGUUUAGCAUUUAAUACCUAUUUAUUAUGAGUUCAUGUAACUGCUAUUUAAAGAAUAAUCUGCGCUAACUCCUUUCCACCCUAUUUGAUGCCACUCUGAUUCUAUAAUUGCUGGUUUCUGCGAUAUUAUGCCACAAAACCUGAAAGCAUAAUUGGUUGUUUCAUUCCAGACAAUACGUUUCCAAGAUGCUGAGAGCUUAACUGGCAGGUGGAAGCUCGAGCAAAGGCGUCAGGCGCGCUCACUCGCGCAGGCCGGCCUCGCAGGGUGCUGACGAGGAUUCGACAUUCACCAGGGAAACGUCUCCUGAAUCCACCGGAACUGCGAGAUUUCAUCAUCGCGCAUCCUGCGUGCACCUACCCGGCACAGAGCACUGUGCCAGCCCCAGGACGUGAGGGUCUCGGCCUGGCGAGGCCGAUGGGGACAGCAGCACAGCGUUGAGCCCAGGAGAUGUAUUCUCUUAUUGCCACUUUACCACUGAGAAAACUGAGGCUCAGAGCAGGUAAGUAACUUGGGCAGAUGGCCAGCUCUCAUCCUCCAUCAAAAUAAACUUCCUUUUUAAUGGAAGACUAUUUUUUUAGUAUUACUUUUUAAUAAUGCAGUAAUGCAUGAAUACUGUUCUCCUUGUAGAACAUGAUUCCACAUUACAGACAAGGCUGCCUUCACUGGAUCACAGCCCUAAUCCCGUGC